AAGACUAUACUUUCAGGGAUCAUUUCUAUAGUUCUUAACUAGGAAAUGUGUUUCUAAAGUGACGAGUCUCCCAAACCACGAUGAUGAGUCGUGAUACUCCUUUCUGAGCGUGAAUCAGAUAUAGAGAAAUGAUUAAGUUCAUAUGCUCUGUGUCAUUGAUGAACGUUCCAUGUUGUGAUCCACAACAGCGGAGGAAAGGAGUAUGAGCAGAGUGGU